GUUUAAGAAACAUUUAUUAUGUAUCUACCAGGUACUAGGAAUUAUAUAUCCUAGCAUGAUGGAAAUGUGAAAAAAUAAAUGUGACAGUUACUAUCCUCAAAAUAAAUAAAUGAAUGCUGAUUGCCUGACUGUCCGUGCUGUGGGACAGAAGAAUUGCAGAUUGGCCAUCUUGCCCUCUCUCGGUCCCACAGAAUCUUAAAACCUGGAUGCUGCAAGUAAUCUCCCAAAAGCCUUUGCGGUAAGCCCAGGCACGGGACAGAAGGAUGGGGAAGAGAAGAAUUCGGGUGUCGGGAAAAGCUGCAAUGCCUCCGUUUCCAUUUCUGUUUAACUGGCAGGGGUCCCUCUAAAAACGAAGGUAAAGAAUCCAGAAGGAAGGUUCUAGUGGAACAGAGACUGAAAAGCAUCAGGAAAAACUUGUGUAUAUGCGUACUGAAAAUCAUGGCCAUGGUAGAGAUACAGUGGAUUUCAUUUGUAAGUAAUCGAUCUGUUUCUUUAAAGGACAUGGUGUUUUUGUACACAGAGACU
rnacentral:lncRNA from 1 species